rnacentral:lncRNA from 1 species
AAGUGGGGCAUGUGCCCCACAAUAAAUUUAUAUUUUUGUGUUAAAGAUUGGAUAAAAUGAUCAGGCAUUUUUGGUUGUGUCAUAUCAAUGUUUCCUUCACAACUCAAGUUCGAUCAUUUCUUCCGCUGUAUAUGAUGUUUUUACUUUUCAUUUUCCAAAUAGUUUAUUAAAUUAGUUAUUUAAAUGUCAAAUCUAAAUUUAUUUU